rnacentral:rRNA from 1 species
UACGUAGGUGACAAGCGUUGUCCGGAUUUACUGGGCGUAAAGAGCGCGCAGGCGGUCGAUCAAGUCGAGUGUGAAAGCCCCCGGCUCAACUGGGGAGGGUCAUUCGAUACUGAUCGACUCGAAGGCAGGAGAGGGUAGUGGAAUUCCCGGUGUAGUGGUGAAAUGCGUAGAUAUCGGGAGGAACACCAGUGGCGAAGGCGACCACCUGGACUGAUACUGACACUGAGGUGCGAAAGCGUGGGGAGCAAACAGG